rnacentral:rRNA from 1 species
GUGUCAGCCGCCGCGGUAAGACAGAGGUGGCGACCGUUGUUCGGAAUCACUGGGCAUAAAGCGCGUGUAGGCGGCGAAGAAAGUCGGGUGUGAAAUCCCUCGGCCCAACCGAGGAAUUGCGCCCGAAACUUCUUUGCUUGAGGACAGGAGGGGAGCCUGGAAUUCCUGGUGGAGCGGUGAAAUGCGUUGAUAUCAGGAGGAACACCGGCGGCGAAGGCGAGGCUCUGGCCUGUUUCUGACGCUGAGACGCGAAAGCUAGGGGAGCAAACGGGAUUAGAUACCCCGGUAGUCCUAGCCGUAAACGAUGGGCACUAGGUAGGGGGGUACCCAAUGCCUCCCUGCUGGAGCAAAUGUAUUAAGUGCCCCGCCUGGGGAGUAUAGUCGCAAGGCUGAA